rnacentral:rRNA from 1 species
UUUCUUGAUUAGUGGCGCACGGGUGAGUAAUGCAUAGAUAAUGUGCCCCUUAGUUCGGGAUAGCCACUGGAAACGGUGAUUAAUACCGGAUACUCCUUCUUGUUAUAAGACAAGUCGGGAAAGUUUUUCGCUAAGGGAUCAGUCUAUGUUCCAUCAGCUUGUUGGUGAGGUAAUGGCUCACCAAGGCUAUGACGGAUAUCUGGUUUGAGAGGAUGAUCAGACACACUGGAACUGAGACACGGUCCAGACUCCUACGGGAGGCAGCAGUGAGGAAUAUUGCACAAUGGAGGAAACUCUGAUGCAGCAACGCCGCGUGGAGGAUGACGCAUUUCGGUGUGUAAACUCCUUUUAUUAGGGAAGAUAAUGACGGUACCUAAUGAAUAAGCACCGGCUAACUCCGUGCCAGCAGCCGCGGUAAUACGGAGGGUGCAAGCGUUACUCGGAAUCACUGGGCGUAAAGGGUGCGUAGGCUGGCUUUUAAGUCAGAUGUGAAAUCCAAUGGCUCAACCAUUGAACUGCAUUUGAAACUGAAAGCCUAGAGUUCAGAAGGGGCAGAUGGAAUUAGUGGUGUAGGGGUAAAAUCCGUAGAUAUCACUAGGAAUAUCAAAAGCGAAGGCGAUCUGCUGGGAUGAU